GACGUAGGUGGCGAACGUUAUCCGGAAUUAUUGGGCGUAAAGGGUGCGUAGAUGGCUUGUUAAGUUAGCAGUGGAAAAUCGAGGCUCAACCUCGUGGAAGCUGGUAAUACUGUCAGGCUCGAGUGCAGGAGAGGUUAACGGAACUCCAUGUGGAGCGGUAAAAUGUGUAGAUAUAUGGAAGAACACCAAUAACGGCGAAGGCAGUUAACUAUUCUGUUACUGACAUUGAGACACGAAAGCGUGGGGAGCAAAACGG
rnacentral:rRNA from 1 species